CAAUAGCGUAUAUUAAAGUUGUUGCGGUUAAAAAGCUCGUAGUUGGACUUCUGUUGAGAGAUACCGGUCCAUGCAACGCAUGCGUAUUUGGUAAGUCUCGGCAUCCUCUCGAAAAACUUCUUUGCGCUUGAUUGCGUGAAAAGAGUUUCGGGACUUUUACUUUGAGGAAAUUAGAGUGUUCACGGCAGGCCAUCGCCAGGAUACAUUAGCAUGGAAUAAUACUAUAGGAUCUUGAUCCUAUUUUGUUGGUUUCUAGGAUUAAGAUAAUGAUUAAUAGGGACAAUUGGGGGCAUUCGUAUCAACACGUCAGAGGUGAAAUUCUUGGAUUGUGUUGCGACGAACUACUGCGAAAGCAUUUGCCAAGGAUGUUUUCAUUGA
rnacentral:rRNA from 1 species